AGUCCAGCUCUGUCCAUUUUGACAAACUUGAAUGUCACACAAGACAACUCUGACAAAGGAGGAAGAGGGUCAUCACUAUCAGCACUAGUUUAAUUUUACUAUAAAUCCAGAGACCAGAGUUGAGUUUUUUUUUUCAGCAUAUGUUUUAACAGAGGUUCUGCUAGUGAUUCUUACCUGGCUUAUGAGGUCCUGGUUCUAUCACAGAGGCUGGGAGGUACUUUGGGUGUGAAAUUAGCCCUGAACUAACAAUGAAUAAGACAUAGCUUCCAGAAUAAAACUGGGGCACAUUUAUUAGGAAAAAAAGAGAGAUGGGUUAAUGAAGAGAAGUCAAAGAGAAGUGUUGAGUUUCCACCAAAAUAACCAAUGCAGGAAGCAGCCGCUGAUCUCUAGUCUGAGCCGCUGAUCUCCAUCUGAGAAGCCAGUGUUCUUGGCAGCUACAGCCAGGGAGGAGCCACACCAGGAUGAGAGGAAAUAUAUUGUGCUGGUUGUACCUGGUGAGCAUGAAGUGCCAUACACUACAGCUGCUCUUGUGAAACAAGUGCAUGUAACAGCAGAAAAUGAAGCCAACAUAUUUCCAGGGCAUGGUUCACCAGCAUGGAAAGUGCUAUGGAGUGGAGUGCAGGUUGAUGUAUACCACACACUCUCUUGUGACAUCUUGCCUGGACCAAUGAUGCUGCCAAGAUCUGCCCCUCUCUUGAUGUCAGCCUUCAGGAAUCAGUGGGUACCUGUGACAGGACGAUGGCUGUCUCUUGGACCAUGAACAUUGUCCACAGAUUUCCUAGGGUCAGUGAGCCUCUUC